rnacentral:rRNA from 1 species
CCUACGGGAGGCAGCAGUGAGGAAUAUUGGACAAUGGGGGGAACCCUGAUCCAGCCAUGCCGCGUGUGUGAAGAAGGUCUUCGGAUUGUAAAGCACUUUAAGUUGGGAGGAAGGGCUUUAGGUUAAUACCCUGAAGUUUUGACGUUACCAACAGAAUAAGCACCGGCUAACUUCGUGCCAGCAGCCGCGGUAAU